CCCCCCCGCAGCUGAGUUGUGCCCAGGAGCCUGCGGGGUGAGAAGGUGGUCUCAGGCAGAGGGAGCAGGUUUUUGGCAACAAGGGAUGAGAUUUGAAGCUGAAUGUUAAGGGCCUAUAGGGCAAGAUGCUCAGACAAGGCACCUGCUGAACCCUUCGAGUUCACUGCUCUUCUUGUCCCCAAGAGCUGUGGGAUGAACCAGAAAAAUCAUGCUCCCUACGUUGCUCUGAUUAUGGUAGCAAGAGAUCCAGUGGACAUUUGUGAGCUGAGAUUUGGUGGUGCUGUCAGGCCUGGGACUUCAAUCUGCAGAGAAGCAAUUCCAAGUUGCUGUGGAUGUCUGUUGUAGAGGAGACCUCUGGAGAAGGCAGUGAGUGAGAUGCUGUGACUCUCUCAACUCCAGACUUGGACUUGAGGCUGUAAAUGAUGAGUGGACUAUCUAUUGUGUCAUCACUAACAAAUCCAGAUAAGCUCUGAGGUGAGAACCACCCCUAGAUGAUCAGGCAAAGCCUGACAAGAAGCCAAGAAUCACCUCUUGAUGGGGGCUCCGUGAAUGCACGCACCACUCUUAACCAAGGCAUUUUCACUCUCUGUAAUUUGCACAGUGUAUUUCCUGUCUAUCCUGCCUGAAAAUACUUCCUUUUGGACUUAGCUGCAAAGCAAAAUUCUUGGUACUGUUGGAAGGUGCACAGAAACACACUGAAAAAAACAUUCACCUACAAGAAAUUUGAUUCCCAGGAGGAUGAAUGAGCUCUUGAGGUCAAGCGUAGCUCUAGAAUUUUAUGAAUGUGUGGGAUUUUUUUAUUUACUGCUCUGUGAAUUGCCUCCUAAACUAAGAAAAUGCUCAAGGUUCUUUUGGAUACAAGAAACGUCUGGGUACAAUGUUCUUAUACCAAGAGUGACCGCUGACUAUAAAGAGAGUUCUUAGAAAGAGAACAUGAAUGAAAGUCAAUUAACAAUGAGCUACAACUCCUUAAAUACAAGAGUUCCUUAUAACCUUACAAAAGAGCAUUUGUAAUUUCAAACUACUAAGAAGGAGAUGAAUCAAACCACCCACCUUCCAGCUAAUGAUGUUUUCUUAUAAACAGAUUUCAGUAAAUGACAGUCUUAAUCUAAAAUGUGGGUCUGUGAUCCCAACUGCUACAA